CCUACGGGCGGCAGCAGUGAGGAAUAUUGGUCAAUGGACGCAAGUCUGAACCAGCCAAGUAGCGUGCAGGAUGACGGCCCUCCGGGUUGUAAACUGCUUUUAGUUGGGAAUAAAAGGGGGCUCGUGAGCCCCGUAUGGUAUGUACCAUCAGAAAAGGACCGGCUAAUUCCGUGCCAGCAGCCGCGGUAAUACGGAAGGUCCGGGCGUUAUCCGGAUUUAUUGGGUUUAAAGGGAGCGUAGGCCGGCUGUUAAGUCGGCUGUGAAAGACCGAGGCUCAACCGUGGAAGUGCAGUUGAAACUGGAGGCCUUGAGUGGACACAGGGAAGGAGGAAUGCAUGGUGUAGCGGUGAAAUGCUUAGAUAUCAUGAAGAACUCCGAUUGCGAAGGCAAGUGUCCGGGGUGCAACUGACGCUGAGGCUCGAAAGUGCGGGUAUCGAACAGGAUUAGAUACCCCUGUAGUC
rnacentral:rRNA from 1 species